UACGUAGGGGGGCGAGCGUUGUCCGGAUUUAUUGGGCGUAAAGCGUGCGUAGGCGGCUGCGCAAGUCGGGUGUGAAACCCCGGGGCUCAACCCCGGAACUGCAUCCGAUACUGCGUGGCUAGAGGUAGGUAGGGGAGAUCGGAAUUCCUGGUGUAGCGGUGAAAUGCGCAGAUAUCAGGAGGAACACCGGUGGCGAAGGCGGAUCUCUGGGGCCUUACCUGACGCUCAGGCACGAAAGCUAGGGGAGCGAACAGG
rnacentral:rRNA from 1 species